UGCGGUGCACCUCGGUCGGGCUCGCCGGGCUCGAGGGCGGGCGGGCGCCGGGGCUACGAGGCCCGGGGGGAGAGAGCCGGCAGGCGGCGGCGGUGGCGGCGGGGGCGAUGCGCCGUGCCCGGCCGCGCUAGGUGAGCCGGCACCGGGAGCGCGGGCCGCGGCCAUGGGCACCCUGGGCAAGGCGAGAGAGGCUCCGCGGAAACCUUCCCAUGGCUGCAGAGCUGCCUCUAAAGCAAGACUAGAGGCAAAGCCAGCCAACAGCCCCUUCCCCUCCCAUCCCAGCUUGGCCCACAUCACCCAGUUCCGAAUGAUGGUGUCUCUGGGACAUUUAGCCAAAGGAGCCAGCCUGGACGAUCUCAUUGACAGCUGCAUUCAAUCUUUUGAUGCAGAUGGAAACCUGUGUCGAAGUAACCAACUGUUGCAAGUCAUGCUGACCAUGCACCGAAUUGUCAUCUCCUCUGCAGAACUGCUCCAAAAAGUUAUCACCCUCUAUAAGGAUGCUUUGGCAAAGAAUUCACCAGGACUUUGCCUGAAGAUCUGUUAUUUUGUAAGGUAUUGGAUAACAGAAUUCUGGGUCAUGUUUAAAAUGGACGCCAGCUUGACAGACACUAUGGAGGAGUUUCAGGAACUGGUGAAAGCUAAGGGUGAGGAGUUACACUGCCGCCUGAUUGACACAACUCAAAUCAAUGCCCGUGACUGGUCCAGGAAACUUACUCAAAGGAUAAAAUCAAAUACCAGCAAGAAACGGAAAGUCUCCCUGCUCUUUGACCAUCUGGAACCAGAAGAGCUAUCCGAGCACCUCACCUACCUUGAGUUCAAGUCCUUCCGGAGGAUAUCGUUCUCUGAUUAUCAGAAUUACCUUGUAAAUAGCUGUGUGAAGGAAAACCCCACCAUGGAGCGAUCUAUUGCUCUGUGCAACGGCAUCUCCCAGUGGGUACAACUGAUGGUUCUCAGCCGCCCCACGCCGCAGCUCCGAGCAGAAGUCUUCAUCAAGUUCAUCCAGGUGGCUCAGAAGCUCCACCAACUACAGAACUUCAAUACACUGAUGGCUGUGAUAGGUGGGCUGUGUCACAGCUCAAUCUCGAGGCUCAAGGAGACAAGUUCGCAUGUCCCACAUGAAAUCAAUAAGGUUCUCGGUGAGAUGACUGAGCUGCUGUCCUCCUCCAGAAACUAUGACAAUUACCGGCGAGCCUAUGGAGAGUGCACCGACUUCAAGAUCCCCAUUCUGGGUGUGCAUCUCAAGGACCUCAUCUCCCUGUAUGAAGCCAUGCCUGACUAUCUGGAGGACGGGAAAGUGAACGUCCAUAAGCUACUGGCCCUAUACAAUCAUAUCAGUGAAUUGGUCCAGCUGCAAGAGGUGGCCCCACCCUUGGAGGCUAACAAGGACUUGGUACACUUGCUGACGUUAUCCCUGGAUCUUUACUACACUGAGGAUGAAAUCUAUGAGCUUUCCUAUGCCCGGGAACCAAGGAACCACAGAGCUCCACCACUAACACCUUCAAAGCCACCAGUAGUAGUGGACUGGGCUUCUGGAGUGUCUCCCAAACCUGAUCCAAAAACCAUUAGCAAACACGUCCAGAGGAUGGUGGAUUCUGUCUUCAAGAACUAUGAUCACGACCAGGAUGGAUACAUUUCUCAGGAAGAAUUUGAAAAGAUUGCUGCGAGUUUUCCAUUUUCCUUCUGUGUGAUGGACAAAGACAGGGAAGGCCUCAUCAGCAGGGAUGAGAUCACAGCCUACUUCAUGAGAGCCAGCUCAAUCUAUUCCAAGCUGGGCCUGGGCUUUCCUCACAACUUCCAAGAGACCACCUACCUGAAGCCCACUUUUUGUGACAACUGUGCUGGAUUUCUCUGGGGAGUGAUCAAACAAGGAUAUCGAUGUAAAGGAGAAUUCAGGAGUGAAAGAGAGGAAACCUUUUACUGCAAGAAAGAAAAUAAGACCUAACAGCUGAGUGUUUCCGGAGGGUCUCCCUAGAGUAGGCAGAAUGUAUGGGAUACCAGGACACCAUCUCUUCCCUCCAAGAUAUCAGGAUACUGCUUCUGAUGCUGAGAUUCACUGAUAAAGGGCUACAUCAAGAGUGUGAGCUCUGGGCUUCACCAAGUGAGAAGAAUGCUAGCUUCAUUAGGAAUGUUAAGUGUCUUAGCUCCAGAAGAUAGAACAGACAUGUGUGACAAGAAAGCACUGCAUGAAUUUGGUUGUGAGACACACUGGGGAAGAGAGAAAAGUGAAAGACUUCUUGACCCAGGAUGUCUUGUCCACAGACUGCGGGAUGAACUGCCACAAACAAUGCAAAGAUCUGGUUGUGUUUGAGUGUAAGAAGCGAGCCAAGAACCCAGUAGCUCCCACAGAGAACAACACUUCUGUGGGGCCAGUGUCCAACCUUUGCUCAUUGGGAGCCAAAGAUCUGCUCCAUGCACCUGAGGAAGGACCUUUUACAUUCCCUAAUGGGGAGGCUGUGGAACAUGGUGAGGAGAGUAAGGAUCGGACCAUCAUGCUGAUGGGAGUGUCCUCACAGAAGAUUUCUCUUCGGCUGAAGAGGGCUGUUGCCCACAAGGCCACCCAGACUGAAUCACAGCCUUGGAUUGGCAGUGAGGGCCCUUCAGGUCCCUUUGUGCUGUCUUCCCCAAGGAAGACAGCCCAGGAUACUCUAUAUGUGCUUCCCAGUCCCACCUCUCCAUGUCCUAGCCCAGUCUUGGUCAGAAAGCGGGCUUUUGUCAAGUGGGAGAAUAAAGACUCCCUCAUAAAAUCAAAGGAGGAGCUCCGUCACCUCAGACUGCCUACCUACCAAGAACUGGAACAGGAAAUAAAUACUCUGAAAGCAGAUAAUGAUGCCCUAAAGAUCCAACUGAAAUAUGCACAGAAGAAAAUAGAAUCCCUCCAGCUUGAAAAAAGCAAUCAUGUCUUAGCUCAAAUGGAGCAGGGUGAUUGUUCUUAGCCCAGAAACUAAGUAGCACAAUCUGUAGAUGAGUAUAGUGAUCUCAUUUCCUAAACUGUAAUGCACAGACCUGAGGAACUUUACACUGACCAGCUUUAAAACAGUACUUUAAAAGGAAAAGCCUGUUACUGUUUAUUUACCUAAAAGAAAGAGUCCUAAUGUGCAGCACUGUUUUCUCUUUCAGUUAGUUGACUCAAAGGGGGAAAACUAAAGAAUGCAAAACUUUUGCUAUUCAUACCACUGAUGUUCAUCAAAAGUAUGCGAUCUAAAACAUGACUAUCAUUUCCUGACAAUGGGGCAUCUCGGUGGCCUGCCUGGCUGAUUCUUCCUUAAAACUAAAAUCUCUGGAAAAUGUAUUUGCUUCUUACCCUGUGUUUUCUGCAAACUGACUUACUUUGUUCCAGCCAAAGCUUGCUAAUAAUAGAAAACUACCCAUAUUCCAAAAGUAGAUUUCCUCUGUAUCCCAGCAUACUUUGUGAACCUGGCUCCUUCUUCACUACCUCAGAUCUAAUCAAUUAGUCCAUGUACCCUCCUUCCUCACUACAGUCAUAACACAUGAGCAUAUCUACCUAGAAGCCAAUUUCUACUGACGUAGCCACAACUUUUUAGAGGCCUAUUAAACAUGACGUUAUCCAAUUGCAGGUCAACUUAUAGUUGUAGCCUUACAACUUACAGGCAUCAUAAAAUAAGUAAUCAAAUUAGGUACCUGGAAGCAUAGCUAUUACCAUCUCGUAUUACUGUCUAAUUAAAAUAAACAUAACGCAAACAUGUUUGUCCUUAUAUAUUCUACAGUGGAUAGAAUUAGGAAUUGAUGGCUUAAAAAAAAAGUCUAUGAAGAGUCUGUUUAACUCUUCAUGUUUCAUCUUUAUCUUCUGAAGUAAACUAUUUUGAAAGUUC